AAUAGCAACAAAACGAGAAACAAGGAUCGAAAAAAUUCACCAUCCACAUUCAUCUUUCCAGUGCUGUCGGCAUUAGCUUUGUUCCGGAUUUUUGUUUUGUGUUGUUUUCGUUUUGUUUUCGUUUUGUUUUGUUUUGUUUUGUCAGAUCUAUACUGGCAAGA
rnacentral:ribozyme from 17 species